UAUCGCCAGACCGAGUAGGCUCGCCCGAAAGCCGUGCAGAAAGAGGAAGGAAGGCGCGACCAUCGGCCACACGGCCGUGAAUAUGCACCCCGCGCAGAAGGGCGGACGCUUCUUGCAUGGUCGGACUCUCCGGCGUUCGGUCCGAUUUCAUGCCCUUUCUGCAAGCGGCUGCGGAGCGCCAUUGCUAGCCGUGCGGGGUGCCCGACUUGAAUUCUGACGAG
rnacentral:sRNA from 18 species